AACGCGAAGAACCUUACCUGGGCUUGACAUGUUCGGUCUACCUGCAGAGAUGUGGGGUGCUUAGGCGCCGUUCACAGGUGGUGCAUGGUUGUCGUCAGCUCGUGUCGUGAGAUGUUGGGUUAAGUCCCGCAACGAGCGCAACCCUCGUUCCAUGUUGCCAGCAGGCCUUCGGGUGCUGGGGACUCAUGGGAGACUGCCGGGGUCAACUCGGAGGAAGGUGGGGACGACGUCAAAUCAUCAUGCCCCUUAUGUCCAGGGCUGCACACAUGCUACAAUGGCCGGUACAGAGGGCUGCGAUACCGCGAGGUGGAGCGAAUCCCAAAAAGCCGGUCUCAGUUCGGAUCGGGGUCUGCAACUCGACCCCGUGAAGUCGGAGUCGCUAGUAAUCGCAGAUCAGCAACGCUGCGGUGAAUACGUUCCCGGGCCUUGUACACACCGGAGUA
rnacentral:rRNA from 1 species